UACGGGGGGAGCAAGCGUUGUUCGGAUUUACUGGGCGUAAAGGGCGCGUAGGCGGUCAGCACAAGUCAGUUGUGAAAUCUCCGGGCUUAACUCGGAAAGGUCAACUGAUACUGUGCGACUAGAGUGCAGAAGGGGCAACUGGAAUUCUCGGUGUAGCGGUGAAAUGCGCAGAUAUCAGGAGGAACACCGGUGGCGAAGGCGGCCACCUGGACGGUUACUGACGCUGAGACGCGAAAGCGUGGGGAGCAAACAGG
rnacentral:rRNA from 1 species